rnacentral:lncRNA from 1 species
GUCGGUGGACCCCAUUUCUUGACUGAAAUUUGAUUAUAGCCUGUAAAAUCGCCCGUUUGUGGAUUUCGGUCAAUUUCUGUUUGGAAUUUGGAAAAACUUUCUUCUGUAAAGUUGUAGAGAAUUGAAUUUCCUAUAAAAAGUCGCGAGUUUCGAAUUUUCUGACAAAAGGGCUAUUUAUUGUGAAUUAUUGAAGUUCCGAAGCUCCGAAAUAAUUGAUUUUUGGAAGUUUAAAAUAUUUUAAAUAACAAAAACGUUUUUUUCAUUAUGGUGUGUUACACAUGUGUGUUGAAUGAGCUGAAUUCAGUUCUUGGAAGGUUGGCGUAGGAAAAUUUAAUUUAUAUAUUAAUAUUAUAUUAAAUUUUCUGCUUUGGUGUUCUAAGCAUUUUCCUAUAAAUAGGGUGCUUAGGUUAGAAUUAAAAAU